GCGGGUAACCGCUGAUCAGCUUCCCAAGCUGACAAUGCGGGUUCGAUUCCCGUCACCCGCU
rnacentral:tRNA from 1 species